rnacentral:lncRNA from 1 species
CCCCCUUCCUGACUCUGCCCUUCCCAGAGGCACAGCGGCAGCUUCAGGCCAGACUCUACCAUCUCUGAUGCUGUGUCACCGAUAGCACUGCCUGCUCUGGCCACGAAUAAUACUCCUUGACCGGCAGUCCUUCAUGCACUGCUCCUCUGUAUUUCUUACCGUGAAAGGAAGUAGAUCCACGUCAAUGCCCUCAAUUGGAGCACGCUUGACCCAGUUUCAUCAUUUGCCUUUUAGUGUUGUCUGUGAGGUUACUUUCCAUUGCCACAUUGGAAACUGCUCAAGUUGACUAAGCUGAAAGCAGUCUUGUGCUGCCUGUGGGCCAGUGGCUUCCAGUGUUCACAAGAGUGGUGGAUUUAAACGAAUGUGUUUGAAUUUUGGCUGCUUCAACCAAAUUCUCCCUUCUAGGCUCUUCAUCACCCUGGAACCUGAACCCUAUGCCGACCUGCUCAUGACAGUAUAGCAACUGUACCUUGUGCUUCUCUGCACUUACGCACAUUGAGAGAAAGCUAUCAGAAGAAGAAGCCAGAGAACUAACGGGGUUCAUCUCAGGUGCCUGCUUUUCUUCAAAGUCCAGUACUGCCUGCCGUUCAGGGUGUGUAAACAGUCGCCUCAUAUGUUUGUCUGGCCGUACGGUUGUUUUUGGCAGGGGGGUAAGGCUCAUAUCAGUUUUCCUGGCAGGGCUGGAGGCUCGAGUUCUCCAAUAGUUUGAAAGUGAGAUAGUAUUUGAAACCUAAAUGCAGAUAGUUAUUUGCCCGUUUCUAUGUUUUAAAGUUUAGCAAAAUUUGAUUAAUUAACAGAUGGAUAAAAUGCGACUUUAACUCUUCCCCUACCACUUGGAUGACAUUUAAUAAACUGACUCUUCAUUAACACGGGCAAUACAAUU